rnacentral:rRNA from 1 species
UGAGGAAUAUUGGUCAAUGGACGAGAGUCUGAACCAGCCAAGCCGCGUGAGGGAUGAAGGUGCUAAGCAUUGUAAACCUCUUUUGUCAGGGAACAAAGGCAUCCACGAGUGGAUGUGUGAGUGUACCUGAAGAAAAAGCAUCGGCUAACUCCGUGCCAGCAGCCGCGGUAAUACGGAGGAUGCGAGCGUUAUCCGGAUUUAUUGGGUUUAAAGGGUGCGUAGGCGGCCUGUUAAGUCAGCGGUAAAAGCCCGGGGCUCAACCCCGGCGAGCCGUUGAAACUGGCUGGCUGGAGUUGGCGAGAGGUAUGCGGAAUGCGCGGUGUAGCGGUGAAAUGCUUAGAUAUCGCGCAGAACUCCGAUUGCGAAGGCAGCAUGCCGGCGCCACACUGACGCUGAGGCACGAAAGCGUGGGGAUCAAACAGGAUUAGAUACC